rnacentral:rRNA from 1 species
GACAGAGGAGCCAAGCGUUGUCCGGAUUGACUGGGCGUAAAGCGCACGCAGGCGGCCGUGCACGUAGGGUGUGAAAGCUGGCGGCUUAACUGCCAGACGCCACCUCAUACGGCACGGCUCGAGCCCGUGAGAGGUCCACGGAAUUGCCGGUGUAGUGGUGAAAUGCGUAGAGAUCGGCAGGAACACCCAGGGGGAAACCAGUGGACUGGCACGGUGCUGACGCUCAGGUGCGAAAGCGUGGGGAGCGAACCGG